GACUUGCUUUGGUGAAUAGAGUAUGGCAGAAAUACAAUCAUCAGGCUCCUGUCAUAAGAGGCCUGGCAGUCUCUGCUUUCAUUUUCUUAGACUCUUAACCUGAGAGACUUCCAUGUGAAGAGCCAGUCUAAGUGCCAGCCAUCAUUCUACAUGCUCCCCCGAACAAGAUAAUGUCCUGCACUCAUGUCCCUUCUCAUGACCAUGAAAUGUUGGCUGAAUGCAGCAACAUAAGUGAGAUCAAGUGAGACCAAUGGAAGAAUCAUUCAACCAGCCCACAGAAUUCUAGAAGGAACACUGGAAGGAGGUUGGAAUAGACGUUGUGUGAACUACUUAGCCAAGUCUGCCAUUCUCCCCCACCAUACUCCUGCUAUCUCCUAAUGCUCCCUAUUAAUCCUCCAUAAAAUGUAUUACAGUUUGAAAUCACACAUGCACACACACAUGCCUGUGUGUGUAUGUGUAAAAUUUUCCAUUUUGUUUUCAUUAUAUUGUGAAAAAAAC